UAGGGAAUCUUCCACAAUGGGCGCAAGCCUGAUGGAGCAACGCCGCGUGUGUGAUGAAGGCUUUCGGGUCGUAAAGCACUGUCGUAUGGGAAGAAAUGCUAGAAUAGGGAAUGAUUCUAGUUCGACGGUACCAUACCAGAAAGGGACGGCUAAAUACGUGCCAG
rnacentral:rRNA from 1 species